rnacentral:rRNA from 1 species
GUGGGGAAUAUUGGACAAUGGGCGAAAGCCUGAUCCAGCCAUGCCGCGUGUGUGAAGAAGGUCUUCGGAUUGUAAAGCACUUUAAGUUGGGAGGAAGGGCAGUAAGUUAAUACCUUGCUGUUUUGACGUUACCGACAGAAUAAGCACCGGCUAACUUCGUGCCAGCAGCCGCGGUAAUACGAAGGGUGCAAGCGUUAAUCGGAAUUACUGGGCGUAAAGCGCGCGUAGGUGGUUUUGUAAGUUGGAGGUGAAAUCCCCGGGCUCAACCUGGGAACUGCCUCCCAAACUGCAUGACUAGAGUACGGUAGAGGGUAGUGGAAUUUCCUGUGUAGCGGUGAAAUGCGUAGAUAUAGGAAGGAACACCAGUGGCGAAGGCGACUACCUGGACUGAUACUGACACUGAGGUGCGAAAGCGUGGGGAGCAAACAGGAUUAGAUACCCUUGUAGUCC